CUCACUUUGCCACAUACCAAAAUGGCCCGUGCCAUCAAAGAUCUCCACGGCCAGUCUUGCAUUUGUAAUUGUCGGUCUUGUCCACAUGGACGAUGUUGAAGCUCCUACACCGACCGUUUUCUCCAUAAUCUUUCAAUAUACCUAAGGAAAUCUUUUCUGAUGUGGAAGAUCAGUUCAAACUGCAACCACAGAGCAUACUACGAUUAACCUUCGGCUCUGAUACCACUUGUUGUUCCAAUAGGGUCGGAAGCGUGUAAAUUAUUGUACUAAAAAAUCACACAAAGUUCAAUUCCCAGGGAAGAGAGGUGGAUCACAUGGAUCUCUUAAAUACCAAGUCUUUCCUUAGUCAGAAUAUCCCUUCUAUAGUAAU
rnacentral:lncRNA from 1 species